rnacentral:rRNA from 1 species
UACGUAGGGUGCGAGCGUUGUCCGGAAUUAUUGGGCGUAAAGGGCUCGUAGGCGGUUUGUCGCGUCGGGAGUGAAAACACUGGGCUUAACCGAGUGCUUGCUUUCGAUACGGGCAGACUUGAGGCAUUCAGGGGAGAACGGAAUUCCUAGUGUAGCGGUGAAAUGCGCAGAUAUUAGGAGGAACACCGGUGGCGAAGGCGGUUCUCUGGGAAUGUUCUGACGCUGAGGAGCGAAAGUGUGGGGAGCGAACAGG